rnacentral:rRNA from 1 species
AUGGGGUCGGGGGUCGGCGACAGGAUGGCCACGCGAUGCCGUACGUUUGCUCGGGAGGCCGUUCGCCGCUUGGGAGCCUGGGCGAAGCCCGAUCCGUCCAAGCCUCGGGUCCCCUUCAGCACGAGGAUGGAGUGGUUCAACAAGGAAUGGGAUAGGCACCUUACUGAGGGGGAAAAGUCAGUCCACAAUUUCAAGCGGACCAUGAAGAUUGCGGGGCCUACUUUCACUGCAGCAGCAGCACUUCACAUCUUUUACAAAGAGAUGAUGAGAGUUCAAGGACCUGAUGGUGCUCCCGCAGAUCCCGACACAAGCUACGAGCGUGCCAGGCGUGCCGUAUUCCUCUUUCUGCACAAGGUUGACCCGGGGAGUUUCCCUUCACCUGGGGACCCCGCAUUGAGGCUGGCGCAACUCUGGAGAACUUACUACGAGGAGCUCUUCGGAAAGCCAGCAGAAGAUGAAGCCGAGAACAAGGAGGAGUCUUUGGAGACUGCGAGGAUUACAGCAGAAGCUCAGGCUUUGAUCUCCCAGACGCUUGGCAAGCUACAGGCAGAGGAAGCAUGCAAGACUGAAGCCGAUGCUGUCCUGUUUCUGGUUACAAAGCACAGAGAGGCAUGGAUCCGAGAAGGGGCCCUAGAAUCACUGCUUGAUCACCAGAUGCACAGGGUCGCUGCUGCACUGCCCGGAGCUUCUUGCGAUCUUUCCUUGCUGACAGAGCAGCGCGCCUCACGUGUUCGAGCGGCAGCCGUGUCAUCAUUGAGGAGGCAGUUGCAGCAGAGGAUGACUGCCAGGGCUACUGAAGGACCACCAGACCACUCGUCCGACAUACUUACCUUGAUCACUGCUCGCAAAAUGGUUGGCGAGGCACAGAGCAUGGUUGAUGCAGUCCGUGCCAGGUGGGCAUCUGAAGCAACAAGGGAAUCCAAGCCUGGGGAUGGUAUCGAAGGGAUCCAAGCCCGGUCCACGGAAGUACCACAGCAUGUGGCUGAUAUACUCCAGGGUGCUGCUGAAGCCCAUGCCAAGAGGGCAUCUGAAGCAGCAAGGAGAUCCAAGCAUGGGGAUGGUACCGCAGGGAGUGCUUAG